AAGUCAAUAGCUAACGAGGGGGCAUAGCUGAGAGGUGAACCCAGAGUAGAUCAACCCAGCCACCCAGGUCCCCCAAAGGUAUGGCCUGAGUUCACCUCCCACCUCUCUGCUUCCGGCACUCCCAGGUCCCUGACCAUCUGUGCGCGGUAGAGGCCAGUCGGAAUCCUUACCUGGGGGAAACUGAAAGGCCAUUGGCCUAGAUUUUCCUAAGGCCCGCCUAUGCCCCCGGCUGAUUGGCAGGGUGGCUGUGACCGUCAGCUUGCUGAUCAUUGGCCCAGGGAAAUCUAUUGACCUCCACCGCGCGCCACUUUAACCGCAGCAGGAGAGUCCAGACUGUCAGGACAGAUCAACUCCCUGGAGAACAGAGAUAAAAAUGGAAGGAUAAAACGAGAGCUUGAGUCAGAAAGUUGGCAAAUCCAGUUACAGGAAAGCGUAGAUGCAUGCUGGCCGCUGUCAAUGUGUCCGUCGGCAGCCUGCCUGGCAAGCUGAGGGCGUCCACCUUGCAGAGCAUCCGCACCAGGUGUGGAGUUCUACCCAUUGGGAGCUUCUUUAACAGGAUGGCUGCCUGGGGGAGAAAAAGGUAUUCUGUCCUUAUGUCCUCCCCCAAUGGCAUUACCAGUGACGAUUAAGCACUGAGUGCUCCUGUUUGAAAUAUUCAAGAAAGCUUUAUGGGAGCUGGCCAGUCCGCACCUAACCAGCCGGUUACAUUCCAAAGGUGUUUUGAUAGUUGUGUGAACUGGGAAUCAAAAUCUGUUUUCUUAUAGCAACGAUGUUAUCAAGGCCAAGGUGGUUUUGCAAGCUAGCCCACAAAUAUCUGUUCAAUUCGCAAUGAAUAAUUAUAGAACUACGUGAAUAA